rnacentral:rRNA from 1 species
AGAGUUUGAUCCUGGCUCAGGAUGAACGCUGGCGGUAUGCUUAACACAUGCAAGUCGAACGAAAGUUUUUAACUUUAGUGGCGAACGGGUGCGUAAUACGUGAGAAUCUGCCCUUAGGAGAAGAAUAACUGCUGGAAACGGCUGCUAAAUCUUCAUAUGUCGAGAGAUGAAAUAGCUUAGGCUGCCUAAGGAUGAGCUCACGCCUGAUUAGCUAGUUGGUGAGGUAAUGGCUCACCAAGGCCACGAUCAGUAGCUGGUUUGAGAGAACGAUCAGCCACACUGGGACUGAGACACGGCCCAGACUCCUCCGGGAGGCAGCAGUGUGGAAUUUUCCGCAAUGGGCGAAAGCCUGACGGAGCAAUACCGCGUGAGGGAUGAAGGAUUUUGGUCUGUAAACCUCUUUUCUCAAGAAAGAAGUUCUGACGGUACUUGAGGAAUAAGCAUCGGCUAACUCCGUGCCAGCAGCCGCGGUAAUACGGGGGAUGCAAGCGUUAUCCGGAAUCAUUGGGCGUAAAGCGCCUGUAGGUUGUUUAAUAAGUCUGUUGUUAAAGACUAGGGCUUAACCCUAGAAAAGCAAUGGAAACUACUAGACUAGAG